UACGGGGGGAGCAAGCGUUGUUCGGAUUUACUGGGCGUAAAGGGCGCGUAGGCGGUCAGCACAAGUCAGUUGUGAAAUCUCCGGGCUUAACUCGGAAAGGUCAACUGAUACUGUGCGACUAGAGUGCGGAAGGGGCAACUGGAAUUCUCGGUGUAGUGGUGAAAUGCGUAGAUAUCGGGAGGAACACCAGUGGCGAAGGCGGCUCACUGGUCCGGUACUGACGCUGAGGUGCGAAAGCGUGGGGAGCAAACAGG
rnacentral:rRNA from 1 species